rnacentral:rRNA from 1 species
CCUACGGGUGGCAGCAGUGAGGAAUAUUGGUCAAUGGACGAGAGUCUGAACCAGCCAAGUAGCGUGAAGGAUGACUGCCCUAUUGGUUGUAAACUUCUUUUAUAUGGGAAUAAAAUGUUCCACGUGUGGGUUUUUGUAUGUAUCAUAUGAAUAAGGAUCGGCUAACUCCGUGCCAGCAGCCGCGGUAAUACGGAGGAUCCGAGCGUUAUCCGGAUUUAUUGGGUUUAAAGGGAGCUUAGUUGGAUUGUUAAGUCAGUUGUGAAAGUGUGCGGCUAAACCGUAAAAUUGCAGUUGCAACUGGCAGUAGUGAGUACAGUGGAGGUGGGGGGAAUUAGUGGUGUAGCGGUG